GUACAUCUGGGAUGGCCUGUGAGAAACAUCAGCUGUAUAAACUGGCGUGCUACUGCGAGGACAUUUUUGGAGAUUUGCUCCUGAAACAGCCGUUAGAGGAUUUCCCGAUGGAGGCCGGAUGCCCGCUGCCGUCUCCAAAGGGCCUCAAAGGAAAAAUCCUCAUCAAGAACAGAAGAUUAAAACCUGAAGUUGAAAUAAGUAGUGAUAUAAACCCCAUUCAAAAGUUCUACCAGU